UCCCGCUGCAACUCUCCUAGGCGAUCCCAGGCAGCGAGACCAGACACCACCUUCCACUAGCGUCGCGGCCCCUCUUCCCCCUCCCCCACUCCCAAGCCCUCAGGCCACGCUCCCGACCCACACGAGUCCUAUUCCCUGACACCCGCCACUGUGCCCAACGCAUGCCCCGGAGGUAGGCGUGUCCUGGGAGCCUAGGAGUUUGCUGGCUCCGCCGCCGGCAGGCGGGAGAGACCGGGCCAGGCCCCCUGCGGCGCGGCGAACCCCGGUGCGCGGCCGUCCCUGAGCCCGCCACCCUCGGACACACAAACCCCGGGCACCGAGCCCGCCAAGGCUGCGGAGGAGAGAGUCAGGAGCGACCGCGGUGCAGGCUCACUCACUCGAUGAAGAAGCUGGCGCCUUCCUCCGUGAAGCCCUCCUCCCAGCCGCGCGGCAAGUCUGAGGGAAGGCGAGAAAAGUCGGUCAAACUCGUGCGUCCGUGGCGUCCCCCCACACCCCCCGCUGGCCCUGCGCCCACCUGAGCGGAUCAUGUGACCAGAGUUGACCGGCUCGCCGGUACGCGGGUGCAGCCAGGUCGUGCAGCCGAGCUGGUCACUGCGGGAGAGGUGCACCUGUUAGCGCCACCGCCCCACACACCCGCCCCGGGUCCCAGCCCCCAGCGCCCGACCCCACCCGAGUGCCGCCGCCCCUCGCGCACUUGAUAAAGAACACCCGGCCGUCCCGACAAACGCCGUACGACCAGUGCUCAGGAAAACCAGCCGACCUGCACGGCGCUCUCCCGGAAGUGUGCUUCUUUCUUAGCCUGGGAACACCGAACAGGUUUCUGCUGGAUUCCGGAGAGAGCAGCAGCUCCAGGGCUUCUGUGAAAAAACUUGCCUGUGAUUCCAGCUCCGGGGAGACUGAAGCAGGAGGAUUGCUGCAAGUCGGGAGACAGGACAACAUGGACUACUAUGAGACUCUCAAAAAGUGAAGUUAAGAAUGAGGUCUAGCAGGGGCUGUGUGCAGAAUAGGUGUAGUAGCUUCCCUGGAACCUGGCACACAGUGGGUCCUCUAGUACCCAGCAGGGCAAGCUUGCAUUCAUCUUCCCCGGCUCCCAGCAGGGACAGGUCCUCUCCAUGCCCCCACAUAUCUGAAGCUGCAGAGAUCACAGGCUGCUUCUGCCCUAAGCUCUCACAGGCGACAAAAAAGAGGUGACGUCUAGGUUUCCCUGCUGUCGCUUUGGAAGAGCUGUCCAUCUGCAGUCUGUAACACUAGCCUCUAAGUAUCCAACUCUGGGGGGCUCUCCUGAACCCCCAGAGCAAAGAAGACCCUUCUGCUUCCUUAACUCUCUUGUUUUCACCUCAUUGGCAUUUGUGUGUUUACUCUCUUGUUCUCCCAAAAAACUAAAUGUGUCAGCUAGACAAGAGAAGGAACCUUGGUAUGUCCCAAACUCCAGGGACCUGGGUGCCUAAACAAUUCUGGCUCAUGCUUACAGUAACUCCUCGAUGGGAGAAUGGAAAACUCGCAGACACCCUGUUCUGUCACACUGCAAGUGGCUGGAGCAGGAAGCUAGGCUCCGGGCAAGGGUCGGGCCAGCCUGCAGGGACACAAGCUGCAGGUCUAGAGCCCACCUUACAGUACAGCUGCCCAGUAGGUCCUGGCAUGAGAGAGGUGGGAGUAGGCUGGACCCUGAAGGUGGCGCAGCCAGAGCGUUGCAGAUGAACUAAUGGAGUGUAGGUGUGGGAGGCGUGUGCAGUGCUAGGAAGACCGCACAGGGAUCCUUCCUCAGAAGCAGUUAGAAAGGAGAGAGUUGCUGUGGUUGGGAGUGAAGAAACUUCUGUCUCUGACCCAGUUCUUGACCGAAUGAACAUAGAAAAAUGGCAUCUUUGUUAUUGAACACUGAUUUUAAAACUAUGUUAAAUGCACAAGGACAUGAACACACAGUUAAUAGAAAUGAACCACAAAUGACCUUUAAGUAAAUGGGAAGAUAAUUGGCCAUUGCAUAAUAUCAAGUAUACAAAUGAAAAUUAUAGUAGAAUUCUAUUUUGUAGAUGUUAGAUUGUAUUUUUAAAAAAACAUGCUUAUUCAUUGUUGCUGGGACUACAAAAUGAUUCUGUCUCCUUGAAGGCAAUUUGGCAGCUGCUGUUACAAGUAAAUACACAUUGCUUUGACCAGGCAACUCUACCACCAGGAAUUUAUCCCACAUGAAAUGUUAUAUCCCUUCAGUGUGGCUCAAGAGUAGCAUACUACUGUUACAGAGCACCUACUAGGUAGGUCCUAACCAUUUGUACUCCUGUUUCAGGGGUUCUUAUGCCUUCUGAACCUUGAGCACACUGCAUGCAGGCAAAAUGUAUAUACAUAAGAUAAAAAAUAUUUUAGAAGCAUUUCAAUCACAUACUACCAUGUGUCCCUGACAGUGUCCUCACGAGGACUUAUUCCAGAAAAUUACAUGUUGUUUUUCCUCAUAAAAAUGUGUGUAUAGGGGCUGGAGAGUGGUUAAGUGUUCUGUGGUUAAGAGCACUGACUGUUCUUCCAGAGGACUCAGGUUCAAUUCCCAGCACCCACAUGGCUGUUCACAACUGUCUGUAACUCCAGUUCCUGGAGACCUGACACCCAUGACAAACACCAAUGGAUAUAAAACAAAAAUAAAGAAUUUUUUUUAA